UCCGAGUUGACCCCGGCGGUCUCCUAUGAGUUCCCACCAUUACGUGCUGGCAACAUAGAACGAGGGUUGCGCUCGUUGCGGGACUUAACCCAACAUCUCACGACACGAGCUGACGACAGCCAUGCAGCACCUGUGUUACGGUUCCCUUUCGGGCACUUUCCCAUCUCUGGGAAAUUCCGUACAUGUCAAGGGUAGGUAAGGUUUUUCGCGUUGCAUCGAAUUAAUCCACAUAAUCCACCGCUUGUGCGGGUCCCCGUCAAUUCCUUUGAGUUUUAACCUUGCGGUCGUACUCCCCAGGCGGGGUACUUCCUGCGUUAGCGCCGGCACCCAGAGGGUCGCUCCCCCAGGCACCUAGUACCCAUCGUUUACGGCGUGGACUAC
rnacentral:misc_RNA from 1 species